rnacentral:rRNA from 1 species
UCCACGCCGUAAACGAUGGAUACUAGCUGUUCGACCGCAAGGUUGAGUGGCUAAGCGAAAGUGAUAAGUAUCCCACCUGGGGAGUACGUUCGCAAGAAUGAAACUCAAAGGAAUUGACGGGGGCCCGCACAAGCGGUGGAGCAUGUGGUUUAAUUCGAUGAUACGCGAGGAACCUUACCAGGGCUUAAAUGUAGAUUGCAUAGAGUAGAGAUAUUCUUUUCUUCGGACUAUUU